CCCUUAGAUGUUCUGGGCUGCACACGUGCUACACUGGCAGGUUCAGCGAGCUUCAUGCCCUGAUCUGAAAGGAAUAGGAAAUCUUUUCAAAACCUGCCGUGCUUGGGAUAGAUGUUUGCAAUUAUUCAUCUUCAACGAGGAUUGCCUUGUAAGCGCACGUCAUCAGCGUGCAUUGAAUACGACCCUGUAUUCUGUACACACCGCCCGUCGCUCCUACCGAUUGAAGUUUUCGGUGAGUUGACAGGAGGAUUUUUUUGAAACUGGUUCGCCAGUGGAUUUUAGAUCCAAAUGCCAACGAAUCGAUGGCUUUAGAGGAAGGAGAAGUCGUAACA
rnacentral:rRNA from 1 species